rnacentral:pre_miRNA from 1 species
CACUGCUGCCGCAUCAGCCAGCGAGGAGGCCGAGGCCGCCAGAUCUGGUGACCUCGGCCUAUCCAUGGAUCCGGCUGGCCGA